rnacentral:rRNA from 1 species
UGGCGGCGCCCCUAACACAUGCAAGUCGAGCGAGGUACUUGUACCUAGCGGCAGACGGGUGCGUAACAUGUGGGAAUCUACCUUUUGGUUCGGAACAACAUGGGGAAACCCGUGCUAAUACCGGAUAAGUCCUUACGGAGAAAGAUUUAUCGCCGAAAGAUGAGCCCGCACUAGAUUAGCUUGUUGGUAAGGUAAAAGCUUACCAAGGCAACGAUCUAUAGCUGAUUUGAGAGGAUGAUCAGCCACACUGGGACUGGGACACGGCCCAGA